AAGUCGUAACAAGGUUUCCGUAGGUGAACCUGCGGAAGGAUCAUUAGAGAAAUAAGAAAAAUACACCGUGCAAGUCAAGAACUUGAAAUAAUACGCAUAGUAUAAAUAUAAUAAUAUAAAAUAUAAAAAAAUAUAUAAAACUUUUAGCAACGGAUCUCUUGGUUCUC
rnacentral:misc_RNA from 1 species